AUUUUAAGGAAAACAACAACCCUGAUGGAAACUAAUGACUGUAUCUUUUCCAUUUCCCAUGAAAGCAAGAAGUAAGCGAUAAAGCUGUUUUUAAUGAGUCAUCAAAUAUAGCUGAUGUUCUUUUCAGCAUCAGUGUUGUGUGAGACCAAAAAGUAUAGUCAAAUAACAGAUCCUAUCUUCUCUUGGAUCAGAUAAAGAGCUAAUCAUAAGAGAUACAAAGAAAAUGUUUGCAUUCUCUGUCAGGAAUAUGAGGAGAAGGAAAAAGAGACUUGCAAGGAAAGCUUUUUGAAUUUUUCCAAUAUCUAUGUGUCAGAUCUCCCAGCUGUGAAUAACACACUGUGAAGCACCUCAGGCAGAUUCCUUAGUGACUGGCAUCACAUCUGGCCACAGAUGAAGAGUGAAGGACACCAAACAUUAAAACCUCUUUCCCCAGCCUCUGUGCGUUAUUGCUCUUGGCAAUUUGGCUGAGUCUCUCUUUGGCUGUGGUAGAGGGCCAGCAGAGAGCUACUGCUUUCUUUUUCAUCCCUGUUAGCUUCACCUGCUGGAAGAUGGCCACUGAGCAAUUUGACCUUUGCUCGUGGUCCAGGGUUGUAGUCUGUAGCACUACUUAUGCCAGAAGCAAGAAGCAUAGCCUACCUAUCUAUGUUGCAAAAGCAGUUGUGUUUGAAGGGUCAGCCUUUGUUUUUCUUAGUGUUUUGUUAUAUCGCUAUUCUUGUUUGAUUGUCUGUGAAAUGGAUGCACAGGAAGAAACUACAAGACAUUCAGUCAUUGGAGCAGUCUCUAACCAGUCUUGCUGAGCACUGAUAUAGCUGAACUCUUCCUACAUACUUCUGUCUCACAGACCCAGAUGUUCUUCUCACUUCUGUUUAGAUUUGUUACCUGAGAAGAAUGACAAAGACUUCCACAGAGCACUUCUUGCUUGAGCUGACAGAUCUUGAGCUACGUGAUGAGAGCUUACAAUGGAAAAAAAAAAAAGUCAUUGACUUCCACUGCAUCCACUAGCUUCCAGAAGGCUUGGAAGGGUUCAACCUGGUAUGUCUUACCAGAUAGAGACCCUGGAAGAAAGACUUUUUGAUUGUAAGUAAGCCUUAAAAUGUGGAGUGCAAACAAGUGAUGAAGCAAAAAACGUGUGUGUCUCAGUCGUGUGAUUUCACAGAUAGAUGAAACGCUACUUCAUUUGUGGACUGAAUUCUAUCUGUAUGAAGAAUCUGAUGUUGCAUGGUAUGUAUUUUGUGGCAGUUUGUGUAUUUUCAGUAAUAUUCAUAAUGUUUGGGAAAGGCUCUGUAGCUAUGGUUGCAUUUCAAGGGAAGAGUUGUAGUAGUGCAGUUCUGUAUUGUGGUCUUAAUAUGGUCAUUGAAGAAAAAUGGAUUCCUAAUUAUAGGAGCCUAUUCUUAGAGCAGUCAUCUAACUAUUAUUUUUUAUUUAAAUAAUUUUGGUAUGUAUGUAUAAAUGAAGGAAGAAAAUGCCCCUCUUACUCCUUUAUAAUAGCAACACUUUUUGAAACAGAAAUUAUUUUGCAGGACUGGAUUAUUUUUCCUGCUCACCCGCAGCUCCCCCUUCAUUUAGACAUCAUUUGAGAUGCUUACCUAACCUCCAUUUUUUUUAUUAUUUUUUCCUAUAUUUUUAGCUGAUUUUUGCUGUAUUUACAGAGGAAUAAAGUGCAGCAGGACUGUCCUGGAAGUAGAAGAAUGCAUCUGAACAAAAUCAGUUGGCUUUGUCAAGAAAUUCAAGGCCAUCUGAAGUUCUAGCUCUAAAGAUAUGUUUCUCAACAUCUGCCAAAAAGAAAGUUUAGCAAAUGUUUAUGUGAUGUAGAAAAUAAAUGCAGUGGGUUAGUAGAAAAAAAAUUAUUUCCAAUUCAAAGUUUGAUAGAUGUUUGCCCUAAAGUCCUUUUCUCUUUUUUUCUUUUUUUAGCUACAUGGAGUGAUCAUGAAUAAAGGUAGAUUUUUGCCAAAGAUAUUUUGGUAGGGUUAAGGGCUGAAAAUACAGUUUUUGGGAAGUGAGAAAAAGCUAAGAACGGAGCAAGAGUGAUCUUGGGAGAAUUAGCAGAAAUGUUCUACUUGAGGAAAAGGAAAUAGUGCUAUUAAAAUGCAUAAAUAAAAGGAAGCAUUAAAUUGAAGUCUUUAAGAAAAGAAAUCAUGAGGUUAAUGAGAAGUGCUUCUGCAGUUGCUAAUGGAAACUUCUGAUGGCUGCAGGCUUAGCUUAGGAUGUUCUGUCCCAUCUGUAAUUAUAUUGUCUGUUCUCAGGCACAUACCUUAGUGGUGGUUUGUAAGGUACUGCAGUGGAAGGCAUUGUAUUUUUACUUGUGAGGAGAAGCUCUUUGAGAUUCUGGAAUAAAGCUGUAUUUUCAUGGAGUAGCUGGUGGUUUUUCAGCCUCAAUAAACAGUGUUCCCGCUCCUGUUUC
rnacentral:lncRNA from 7 species